CACCACCACCACUCGCCUCGUGUGUCGAUGAAGAGGGUAGCCAAGUGUGUGACUUAUUGUAAAUUCCUUAUACUGCUUUGUCAUCGACAUCUUAAAGGCAUGUUUCGGCCAUGGGUUCGCCUGGGGCCACGCCUGUUCGAGGGUCA
rnacentral:rRNA from 1 species